rnacentral:rRNA from 1 species
AUACGUAUGGAGCAAGCGUUAUCCGGAUUUACUGGGUGUAAAGGGAGCGUAGACGGACUGGCAAGUCUGGUGUCGAAAGGCUGGGGCUCAACCCCGGGACUGCAUUGGAAACUGCCUGUCUUGAGUGCCGGAGGGGUAAGCGGAAUUCCUAGUGUAGCGGUGAAAUGCGUAGAUAUUAGGAGGAACACCAGUGGCGAAGGCGGCUUACUGGACGGUAACUGACGUUGAGGCUCGAAAGCGUGGGGAGC